UACUACGAUGGAGAACGUUCUCAAACAGAAAGACAUGCUGUUCGAAGACAAGUCUGGGCCCAUUAUGUACCGGAAAGGCAAAGUCGGGGACUGGAAAAAUCACUUCACGGUGGCUCAGAGCGAAUGGUUUGACCACAUCACUAGGAGCAGGAUGGGAAAAUCUAAGGUCUACACAUUUAAAUAUGACAUUUGAACUCUGAACCAUGAAGAGCAUUGUUUGUAUUUCUUGAUGAGGAUUCAUCGAAAACUCGGAUUCAACAAAAGGAGGUGGAUUCCCUGUUUCAUUUAUUCAUUCAAAUCAAUU